CGCACUGACACGGGGUGCCCUGCACGCAGGGCUGAGAUCACACCCGCCGAACCUGAUCUAGUUCGUACUAGCGAAGGGAUGUCAUCUCCAUGACGU
rnacentral:ncRNA from 2 species